rnacentral:snoRNA from 1 species
AGACCAUGAUGUGGACAAAUCCUCAGCAAAUCCUUAAACCGUUCCCAAUAAUCAUACAAAGUUUAAUUCUCUUAUUGAAGAAACCCUACUAUAUUAUUUCUCAACUU